rnacentral:lncRNA from 1 species
CAUUGUAUUGCGAGUUCCUCCAGUAUGACCAGUGUUGUUUCCAAAAGCAAGCCUUGCAUUGAGUUGGGAAGCUUUGUGAAUAUUUGGUGGGGAAGUAAAGGUCCUUGGAGCCAGGGAGUGGAGUGCUCAAUUCCUUAAUAAGUUCUUGAACGCUCCUGAACAAGUAACCACAAUUAUUAUAAUUUAAUAUAUAUAUAUAUAUAUAUAUAUAACAAAUAAACAGAUACAUAAAAACUCUACAUACCUAUACAGCUCAGAGUUCGCAUAUACUUCGGCAAAAUCAAUGUUAUUAUGAGCCUCAACUGCAGCAGAACUGACGUCUAACAUCCAUGUAGCAGGGUUGAAGCCGUCUUUGAUCUUUGGAACUCCUGGAAUGGCCUGCAAGUAAAUUUUUUUUUUUUUAAAGUUAUGAUUUAUUUCUAACCACAUCAUAUAAUUUCAUUAGGAGCAAUUCAAUCAUUCUAAGAAUAUAUUCAAAUGAUUGGAAAUGCCACAGCAAUAUAACUACCGAGAACUAGAAUUGGACUGAACGCUGAAGGUAAAGCAUCGUAUAAAGUUACCUCAAAAUAUUCAACAAGCUUGUGAGACCGGUCACCAAGAGGUCCAGCAUAAAUCACUUGUCCUCCUCUUUUCAUUAAGAAAAGCUGCAAACGAAUAGAAAAUCAAGGUGAUGUAUGAACCAUGAGAUAGUCAAGUGUUAGAGAUUGACGUAUUAAUUUGAAAGGUUAAUAAUACCUCAUCAAAAGCUUCAAAAAUGUCAAUGCUAGGUUGGUGAAUAGUGCAGACUACGGUACGUCCUGUAUCGACUGUGUUUCUUACAGUACGCAUAACAAUUGCAGCUGCUCUGGCAUCAAGCCCUGAUGUUGGCUCAUCCAUAAAGAUAAUGGAAGGAUUAGCAACCAAUUCUACAGCAAUGGUUAGCCUCUUUCUUUGUUCAGUUGAAAGUCCGUCCACUCCUGGUAGUCCAACUAAAGCAUUCCUCAAGGGGUUAAGCUCCACCAAGUCCAUAACUUCAUCAACAAACAUCUAUAAUAGCCAAGACAAUAGGAGUCAACUAUGUAGCAAUAUCCACCAAGUCCAUAACUUAUUUUAUGGUUUACUGAAUGACAUACCUUUCUUUUGGUUUUGUCGACAUCCUUAGUAAGACGUAGCCAGGCAGAGUAUAGCAGAGAUUCAUAAACAGUAACAUAUGGAGAAUGAAUGUCGUUCUGUUCACAAUAACCGCUAACCCGAGCAAAUGUAGUUUGGUUUUUUGGGUAUCCAGAGAUGCUAAUAUUUCCUUCGAUAUAACCACCAGUUUUUCUUCCAGCUAAGACAUCCAUCAAAGUAGUUUUUCCAGCACCACUAACACCGACUAAAGCAGUGAGAACCCCUGGCCUGAAUGCCCCAUUGACAUCUCUUAGUAGUUGCAGUCGGUCCUCUUCAACACCUUGGGUCUUCAUCUCCUGAUAAUGAAGCAUGAUUGUUACUACUAAUAUAUGGAAGAAUGAGUAUUCUUAGUUACUGUUAAUGACUAUGAAUUCUUAAGAUGCAUAUACUAAACUCAGUUUGAAGCCUUUUAUUAUUUCAUAUAAUACUGUUUCUCUUUUGAUACACAUUAUCACACUGAUUUCCGGAAAUUUUAAAGCUUUGGUCAAAAAGAUUAAAGGUAUGACUUACCGCAGGCAUAUCCACAUAGUAGUUAACAUGGCUGAAAGCGAGAGAAAGUGGCUGGAAGGGUAACACCAUUCCUCUCUUGGCUUGUACGUUUGAACUUCCUUCAGCAUUUCUCACUUGCAUAUCAAUUCCUAUACGAAAUUUGCAAGUAGCCACAGUUACAUAUCUGGUGUAAUUCAUAAUUUAGAAAUACAAAAUGAAUGCUUUCCAAUAAAAGGAUCCAAGCUAGUUAAGUGAUACACAAGAUAUAUAGUAUUUCAACCUUCUGUCAAUCGUGGCCUCCUCUUGUUUUCAGAGUCAUCCUCCCCAAGUAGAGUUUUGUUGUCGCCAAGAGCUAAAAUGAGUUGUACAUAAAAAAAAAUAGUCAACACUUGUAUCCAUUAUCAUAAAAAUAGAUAAAUGAUGAAUGAAAGUUAUUAAACUUACGGUUCAAGUAGGUCAAUGCUGCAAUGAACAUCAGAUUGAAGAGAAGAGAAAACCCGACGAGCGCUCCAAUACAAAUCCAAUACCAAGAUUCUGUAGUGUACAGGCCUCUUUGCCUGAGAAGGGCUUUCCCCACAGUGGGCUGAGUGGAGUUGAUUGGUGGCUGUUCCAAGGAUAAAAUAAAAAGUUUUGUUAAACUUAAGAGCUUGAGCCUAUGAUCAUGGGAGAUUAAACUUUAAAUUGUUAUUAUUGAUGUAUAGGAGAAAAUCAACAGAGAUUUAAGAAAACUUACGCCGCCCCAUCUAUCAUCAAGAAAUUCAUUAAUAGCAAUUGCAUUCUGUCCAUACAUCAUAGGUGAGAUAUAGUAGCCCCAUAUCAUCCAUGACUGGAUGUCAUCUGCAGAUCAAUAAGAGAAAGGUUUAAACAUUUUGAAAAAUUAUAUGUCUAAUUUAUACAAGCAUUGACUAGAAAAGGAGGCUGACCUUUAGCAACAAUAUAACCUCCAAGCACAAAUACAAGUAGCAGGACAAAUGAACCUAUUGUGUUAGCAACCACAGGUGUUCUUCCAAGAGCUGCAAUAAAACGGAAGAGGGAGAGUGCCAUCUGACUUAUCCAAAUAUAAGCCAAUAACUGUUUGAAGAACCUGAACAUAUAGGACAGAGAAAAAGCAUUGGUAAUUUUUAACAACACAUCUAGGAAUGUAUAAAGCAUCUGCAAAUGAUAAAGCAACAGAUUAACACUUACCUACUGGCAUCAGGUGCAAAUCCUAUGGAAUAAUAGGUAAAGCCGAUCCAUAUUGCAGAUUCCACAACUGAAAUAGGAAUUCUGGUCACCCAAAUGGGCAACGCAAAAGCCCACGCUGGAUAGAACAAGGCAUCCCUCUGUUUAAAGAACACUGGAAGCCGGAAAACUGUCAUUGCAAGCUCUGUCAUUCCAUUAAACAUGAUGUUAAUGAGACUGAAAAAUAGUGCCCCCCAAUACUUUGAUGAAUCAGCUUGUGUCCCUGAUUUCAUUUCUGUUCUAAGGAAUACAGUCAAAGUAAUUGUAGCCAUGAUGGCAAUCUGUGCAGUUUUGAAUAUGUAAACAAAAGAGUUCCGCUUCAUUAGGAGCAAUUCCCUUGCAAAGCAUGCCUUGAAGAGCUCCAUACUAGAUAUUCCAUACUUUUCCUUAACCAAAGCAGCAGGAUGGGCUUGUCUUUUAUCAUAAGAGACUCUUAGUUCUUCCCCAAGCCGUUGGCCAACAUGAAAGGAGCUGAAUGCACGAACAAAAUCAGAGACUGUGACUGAUCUGUAAGGUUGGUUCUUGAACCAGUAUUGUUCUUGGUCCUUCUUUGAGGUAACUUCUUGCAAGAAGUCUGCAACACCUUUUCUGUCAGGGCAUUUGAAUCCCAUAUAUUCAAAGAACUCGAGGACAUUCUCACGUGGGCCUUGAUAAACAAUCUGACCGUCCGAGAGAAGGAUAACAUCAUCAAAAAGAUCGUAUGUCUCGGGUGCAGGCUGCAAUAGAGAGAUGACCAUUGACACAUCCAUAAUGUGAACCAUCUGUCUCAUGUAUCUGACAAUCUGAAAGGUUGUGGAACUAUCCAACCCUGUUGAUAUUUCAUCCAUGAAAUAUGCUUUUGCUGGUCCAACUAACAUCUCUCCUGUAUUCAGUGAAACCAACUAAAGUUAUUAUUGGAAAUAGGUUCGCACACUAGUUUUCAUUUUUCAAUUUUUAAGCAAGGAAAGUUCGUCAGUAUUCGCUCAAAUAUUCAAAGAAAGAUGAGAAAACAUAAUCAUCGAGGAACAAUGGUUACAUACCAGUCGUGACACGCUUCUUUUGUCCACCAGAUAUUCCCCUUCUCAUUUCAUCACCCACCAGAAUAUCAGCACAGAUAUCCAAUCCAAGAAUCUGUUAAAAGAAUAUCAGAGACAAUCAGGUUAGCUUGUAGUUUGUACAAUAUGGCAAAAAAAAAAAAAAAAUGAAAAACUCCUAUGAUUGAAGAAACAGACCUUGAGAACAUAAUCUGUGACCAAACUUGUUUCCUGUCCUGCCAGAGAUGUGGCUUUCAUGUAUGCAUCAAUCCCAGGAUCUGGUUUAAUACCUGCAUCUUUCUCCCGUCUAGACAACUCUGCUAGUUUAUCAUACCUUGUUCCAACUCCUAGGCAACGUCCAGAGAAAUCAAGUGUUUCACGAACUGUCAUCUCACCAUAAUGAAGAUCAUGCUGGCUAAUAUAAGCAGAGGUUUUCUGAGGUAUAAAUUCAUUAAAUUCAUGGCCGCAGUAAGUCACUUUCCCAUCAACCUGUUUAGAAGCACAAGUUGUCAAUAUGGAUGCAAAACAAAACAAUUAAGUAGGAACAUCAAGUAUAUAUAGUUUAUUUGAAAUGAUAAAAGUUAGACAUAGAAUAUCGAAUUACCUUAAGAUCCCUAUCUAGUUUGCCAGAAAGUGCUUUUAGCAAUGUUGUUUUUCCUGAUCCCGGAGGUCCAAGAAGAAGUGUCAACCUGAAAACAAGUAUAAGAGCUUCUUCAGCCAAUUUCAUCCAAGAUCUAGAUUAUUUAUGUUUGCCAAACUGAUAUCAUACCUUGCUGGUUUGACAAUACCACUAACAUCUUCUAGUAUCUUCACAAUUCUUUUCUUUGAUGGUGAAAGUCCAACAAGUCCCAGUAUUCCCUAAUAUCAUCAACAGUAAUUUUCAAAAUCCAUAGAUUACAGUAGGCACACAAGAUAAAGAAGUAAACUCCACAAUUAGGAAAUGUCUUUGCAAAAUACCUCUAUUGCGUUCAAGGUGGAAUUCCAUAGAGUCGGAAGUGCUCUGGUGCCAACAAAUGCAUCUCCCUCUAUUUUUAGAUUUUGGAAUCGAACCUCAACUCUAGGAAUAUCGAUACCAACCCUGUUUCCCAAAGUCACAGAUCAAAAUUUAGGAAAACAUAAAACUCAAAAACAUGCAAAGCAAUAUAAAGCCAAGCAAAACAUAUAAAUCAUUGAACACUAUUAAUUUCCGAAUCGAAUUACCUGUCAUUUCUAGCUCUGAGCUUCUUCAAGAACUUCUCAUUGUCCUCCUCAAUAACCUUAAGUAUGCUCUCCAUCAACCGCUUCUUCUCUGAAUCCCCAAGAUUCACAACGUCGACUUCUUCAGCCACAACCCUUCCAUUGCUCAUAACAUUCCUCAACAUCCCUUUCCUCAUCCUAUCGUAAGUCGGCAACCUCUCUAUGGCUGCCCACUUGAGCUCCUCCUCCUCGUCCAUCUGCCGGACGCUCCGCUGGAACACGUCCGGCGCGUUCCAUAAUUCCCGGACACUCGUCGACCGCCAGCUCCUCCGGCUACUCGACUGCCUCGACAGGUCAUCUCCCGCCAACGCCGCCGCCGCCAUUUUUUGGCGGGAACGAAAUCAACUCACGGAAGUUGGUGCACCCAAAACGAGGGAAGUGAUCAAGCCUCAAACUGUGUCCGGAAGUUGGGGCGUGAUCUUUGUUCUUGUGAAAGUUUUUCAGACUUUGUAUGAAGUAUGAGACGAGACGUGUUGUUAUGAUGAGAGUGUUUGGAUGUGGUUUAUGCUGGUGGUUUAUAUAGAGAAACAGAGGAUGGGGAAGAAUGGAAGCAGGGGCGGACCCCACUAGAUUUUGAAAAGUUUGAUGUUUUGUUCCUUAUUUUAGUAUAUCUUAGGAAUUGGAAUAGGUUUAUAUAAAGAUAUCUUAGGAAUUGGAAUAGGAUCCACAUGGAUCAGAUAAUUGNNNNNNNNNNNNNNNNNNNNGGGGGGGGGGGGGCGUGCGGGAGUGCAUCUCUAUCAGAAUGGUUGCGGAAAGAAACAAGAAAGUUUUGCCUGUGUACAUUCCAGCAAGUCAUGAGAAUAGUAUUGAAAUGAGACUAGUCAGUAAUCCAGAAGUGACUAAUCUGAAAGAAGAAUAGGAAGAAGGGGGAUGUCAAAAAGGAAGAUGGCAUUUCUCUCCGAAUGGUUUUUUAAAUUGAAACAAAGAGGAAUAUCUUGUUCUGUGUUACAGAAAAGUCUUGGGUCAGAACUCAAGUGAGACUUGGCCUUGGCGGAAUCUUCUCUGUCCGUCCGUCCGUCCCCCCUCCCUUCCUUUGAGAAGAUGUAAAAGUAUAACUCACCGUAGGAGGAGAUAAAAUAAGGGUUUUGUAGUUUCUCUUUUUGGAAAAUAAAAUUUCACAUUGAUAUAUUGACUCUUUGAACAGAAAAAAUAAGUUGUUACAUGUCCUUUCCUUGCCGAUUACGGGGGAGAGAAAAAGUUUGGGAGGGUUCCAAACCCAUUCAAAAAAAAAAAAAAAAGUUGGUGGUAAAAGUCAUUCAAAUCGUUAUAUAAUUUUCAAACAAGCUUCUUCAAUAUUCUAGAAAGUGCGCUCAAGAGUUUGUAGGAGAUGUUGAAAAGUUUUGAGAAAUGCUCAUAUGCUAUUAUUGAUGUUAGCUGUAAGACUAAACACAAGCUAUAUGUGUCAUGUGUGACCUCAUUGCAGUUUGAAAAGCAUGAAAGGAAAUAUGAUAAAGAUUAGAAGGGGAAUAGUGAUGGAAAGAGAAGUACACGUGUUAUUGUUAUUGUCAGUGACGGAGCCAGAAUAUAAUUGAAACCCAAAGUAUAUAUAUUAAAAUACUUGGUCUCGGUUAAAACUAUAGCUUAGUUUUACGGUCUUUUUGUAAUUUCUUUUUCAUUAAAAUUUAUUAACCUUUUUGGUCUCGGAUAUAUUUGAAUUUAUAUCCUUAACGUUGUUAAUUAAACUAACUAAUAUCAACCAGAUCACGGCUCACCAACAACUAUAACUUGGUCUCGGUUAAAACUAUAGCUUAGUUUUACGGUCUUCUUGCAAUUUCUUUUUCAUUAAAAUUUAUUAACCUUCUUGGUCUCGGAUAUAUUUGAAUUUAUAUCCUUAACGUUGUUAAUUAAACUAACUAAUAUUAACCAGAUCACAGCUCACCAACAACUAUAACUUUUUUGGUUAUUAUUAUUAUAAACAAUGAACUUCAAUUUUGAGCACAUGCAACCAAUACCUAAACUCUUCACUUCUUCCUAGGGGUGGGCAUAAAAAACCUAAAUCCUGGUCCCAUCCCGGUCCAGUCCCGAAAUUUGACGGGAUGGGACAAGAUCUAUGCCUAAAAACACUAGGCCCGUCCCGUGGAGAAACAACGGGAGGGGACAGGACGGGACCUGGGACUGAAAAGUUGAGGCCCGUCAGGCCCGUCCUGUCCCGUGUAAAAUAUAGAGUAAUCUCAGCCAUUGAUUUUUUAGAUGUUUUGAUCUCAACCUUUCAUUUUUUAACCCUAAUACCAACUCUCUUUCACUCUCUUCAGUCUCUCGCAGUCGCGCGAACCCAACUCUCUUUUAAGUUUCAAUCUGCUUCCUCCUCACUCUCUCAGUCUCUCUUUCGAACUCCUCCACCGCCCGCUUCCUCCUCCUCCGCUUCCUCCUCGGUGCCCGCUUCCUUCCCCUCCGCAUCUCACUGCCCGAUUCCUCCUCCUUCGCUUCCUUCUCGGCGCCCGCUUCCUCCGCUUCCGCAUCUCACCGCCCGAUUCCUUCUCCUCCGCUUCCUCCUCGCGAACUACAACCGGCGAUGAGGCAACCCCAAUCUUCCAAACGAAGCAGCAGCAACAAGCAUCGUGCCUCCUCCUCCUCCUCUGCCACUUCCUCUGUCAGGCAAGAUUAUUUUCACUCUCACUGUCUCUCUCUCUCUCUCUCUCAUGCUUUUAAGCUUCACAGUGUACAAACUCAUGGCUAAAUCUGAAUAUAUUAGCUGAUAAAGAUCACUCACCUGUGAUUAGAUUAAGACUUUAGAAGUAUUAUUAGUAGUCGAGAUUAUUAGUAGUCGAGGACUUUAAGGUUUCUAUCUGUUUGCUACUCUGGGUCAAGUUAUUUGUUUUCUGUACAAACUCAAAGAAAAUUUUAGAUAAAAAGUCUUUGCUUGCAGUAUUGUUGGUUAGGGAAGACGUGGUAUGUAAUGGCUGGAUGAAUGUUAUAGAUUGAAGAAUGUAUAGAAGGUAUUAUGUUAGGGUAUUUUUUGAUUAGGAUGGUUGCGAUCAAAUUUAGGCUUUGAGAGAUGUAGUGGAAGUGAGAUUUGGAUACUUGAUAUUGAGUGUUAUGGCAAUCGUUGCUCUAGUUUAAUUCUAGUUAUGAAUUAUGGAUUCAUAUGAUGCAAUCUUUAUAUUAUGAGUAAAUGACACUUUAGUACUAAUUUUAAAGGUUUAUUGCCCAUUCCAAUGAAAAUCUCUUUACCAACCCUAUUCCAAUGAAUUCUAAUAAAAGGACGUCAAUACCCUCACCCUAAUUUAACUCUUUUUCUCCUUUUUUUCCCCGUCUCAUUAUCUCUCUCUCUCUCNNNNNNNNNNNNNNNNNNNNNNNUACCCCCCAAUAAAAGUUUACUAGGGGUAGUAAACUUCAUUUUUUUCGCAUCUAAGUUGAUUUUUCUCCUUUUCAAUGUGAAUUAUGGCAUUGGAGCUACUGUUUUGUAAGUUUACUACCCCCAGUAAAAGUUUACUACCCCUAGUAAACUUUAGUUUUUCGAAUCUAAAUUGUUCUUCCUCUGUUUUAGUGUGUAUUAUGGUCUUGAAAAUACUGAUUUGCAAGUUUACUACCCCUAUUAAAAGUUUACUAGGGGUAGUAAAUUUUAUUUUUCCGCAUCUAAGUUGAUUUUUCUCCUUUUCAAUGUGAAUUAUGGUAUUGGAGCUACUGUUUUGCAAGUUUACUAACCCCAGUAAAAGUUUACUAGGGGUAGUAAACUUCAUUUUUUCACAUCUAGGUUGAUUUUUCUCCUUUUCAAUAUGAAUUAUGGCAUUGGAGCUACUGUUUUGUAAGUUUACUACUCCCAGUAAAAGUUUACUAGGGGUAGUAAACUUUAGUUUUUCGAAUCUAAAUUGUUCUUCCUCUGUUUUAGUGUGUAUUAUGGUCUUGAAAAUACUAUUUUGCAAGUUUACUACCCCCAGUAAAAGUUUACUAAGGGUAGUAAAUUUUAUUUUUUCACAUCUAAGUUGAUUUUUCUCCGUUUUAAUGUGUACUUAUAGCCUUGGAGAUAUUAUUUUGCAAGAUUACUACCCCCAGUAAGAUGUUUAUUAGGGGUGGUAAACUUUAUUUUUUUGCAUAUAUGUUGAUUUUUUCUCUCUUUUAAGGUAUAUAAUGGUCAUAGGAAAACUGUAUUGCAAGUUUACUACCCCCAGCAAAAGUUUACUAAGGGUAGUAAACUUUAUUUUUCUGCAUUUAAGUUGAGAUUUCACGGUUUUAAGGUGUAUAAUAGUCAUGGAGAAACUCCAGUGAGAUUUCCCGGGAAAAAUUCCGGCCACCGGAUGCCGGCAAUUUUCCGGCCGUCGGAAAAUUCCGGUCACCGGUGACCGGAAUCCGGCUGCCGGAGUUCGAAGUCCGGCGACCGGAAUCCGGCUGCCGGUGACCGGCGCCGGUGUCCGGUGUGCUUCCGGGAAAGUCUUCCCUUCUUCUUUUUCAUUUUUUCUCUUUAAAUAAAGGUUAAGGGUAAAAAAGUCUUUAAAAAUAUAAUUUUAUUAUAUUUUAAUAAAGAUUUGUGUAUUUGGGCUUAAAAUAAGUACCUUGUAUUCAAAUGGGCUAAUAAAAAAGAUUAUCAUUGAAAUAGGGUUUAACUUUUUCUAUUUUAUGCAAAUGGUCUUUUUCCCUUAUAUAAUAAUCAGGUAAUAUUGGAGCGGGAUGGCGGGAUUAGGCCCGUCUCGUCCCGGUCCUGUUUGGGACUGGACUUGCGUGGGAUCAAGUCUUAAAAACGUAAGGCCCGUCCCGUGUGCAAUGUCCGGGAUGGGCCGUGGGAUGAUCCUAAUCCCAUCCCGUCCCGUCCCGUCCCAUGCCCAGCCCUACUUCUUCCUUAAGUCUACCACAACAGAUACUAACAAACCAUAGAAUUUCACUUUUCGUUGGUGAGCGGUGACCUGAUUGGUUAGGUAAUCAAAUUGACAACGUUGAGGUCAUGGAUUCAAACUUCACUGAUAUAUGUAGUGGUGGGACGGAUUAAUAGGUUUUAAUAAAAAAUGCAAUUUUAAAAAAUUAGAAUUCCUCUUCUCGAAGACACUAAUCUCAUAAGUGUAUGUCCUUAAUUAUCGAUAUGCUCAAGGGAGGAAUUUGAAACUCAGGUUAAUGAAAUGCUCGCUCAAGGCUUCAUUCAAGCUAGCACAUGCAAGUCUGAUUUCCUCUCCGUUACGUACUUUUGGUUAGGAAGAAGGACGUUGCAUGGUGCUUCUGUGUCGAUCGAUUAUUCAUUAUUGGCAGUUAAACAAUGCCACUGUGAAGAACAUAUUCCCUAUCCAAAUUUUCGAUGAAAGCUUGAAGAGUUUUCAUGAUGAUCAAUAUUCUAGCUUCAAUUAAGUUGGAUUUGAGAUAGGGCAACCACCAGAUCAGUAUGCACAAUAAAGGUAACACAUUUUGCUGUACACAUUUUCAUAUAAUUGGGCUAAAUUACCACACUGACAACAUUUUUUCAUACAAUACUUAUAAAAAUGUUGUAGGUGAAGUAGUUACCUGUGGUAGAACUAAAAUUACCCAAAAAUUGACUCUAUACCACAGUGACAACAAACUUGUUAUCCCAUUAGUAAAUACGGGUAUCACAUGCAUACAUAUAGGUACUUAAGAAUUUCUCAAAAACUAAAAGCUAUUUAAAGUUGGUCAUUCUAUUACUGAGUGAAGACUAACAAACCGUGAAGAGCACUACGGUGUUGUACUACACAAAAACACUUAUUGACUUUGUGAAAAUUCUACAAUGUGUUAAUGUAUGACAUGCAUAUAAUUAUCCUAAAGUUGUAAAAUGAGUCCUCAAAGUAGUAAUAUGAGUCCUUAAAAUGGUAUAUAAGUCUUUAAAGUGGUAAGUGGUAACAAAAAUUUAGUUACAACAUUAUUAGUCCUGAAAUGAUAAAAUAAAUCUUUAAAAUUGUAAAAAGUUAAUGCAUGAGUUACAUUAACACACCGUAGCCUUACCGGAGAUAGGUGAGAGUUGUAAUUAUAGACAGUUCAGGGAUAUAUAAAGUUAUUCUAAUCUUCAAAGCGCAAAGCAAACUAAUCAAAAUUCUAGAAAGUGGGAAUGGUCUGUGUCGACCGUGGAGAUGUUGAAAAGUUUUGAGGAAAAACUCGUGCUACAAUUGAUGUUUUCAAGUGGAAGAAUAUACACACUAUAUAUAUUUGUGACAUAAAAGACGAGAAGAUGUGAUAUAAAAUAUGAGAAUUGGGAUUGAGAGAGAAAUGGUGCUGUGAGGCAGAAGUGAUCGAAAGGACUGGUAUUCUGCACUGCUAUAUAUGGUUAUGAGGUUAUCCAGUGUUUAGAAAGGUAACAAUCAGUGCUGCUUCCCUUGAUUGAUAGAAAUACCAACUGCAGAGUUGAGUAUUGUUUUGCUGCAUAUACUGUUUAAGUGGUUUUGAAGCAAUGUAAAACCAUUGCCCUCCUAUAUGUUAAUUAGCAGUUUCAAAUAGUUACUGUGCAUAAUUAAUUCAUGUGAAGACAUAUCGUUUGUGAAGCUUUUAUAUAUUGUAGUAUAUUUCAAGGAAAAAAAAAUAUUACACAGAUGAAGGGAAACGCAUGUCUGCUGUGUGCAAGCCUAUCAAAAAUUACAUACAAUAUUAAUUACAAAACUAGAAACACAAAAUGGGAGACAGUGUUUUUGUGUUGCCCUCAUUAAUCAAUUACUGUAAAUGUUUCAAAUGAUGAACAGUUGGAUAAUUGUCAAACACUAAUAAACAUAUCGUUGUUUUACCAUUGUUUUGGAAUCAGACUAUUCGCAGCUGGUGAAGACUGAAGACUACCAAGGCUGAGGAGGAUAAGGCAGCCUUUGGCAGGGUUGUGGAUGAUGACAUGAGAAAUUCUUCCGUGCGACCAGCCAACAGUCGUGUGACAUGUUGUUUUUUUUUUUUUUUUUUUUUCACAGCUGCAGAUUCUCCAGCGAAGCAAUGGAGAGUCCAGAAUUUUCACCCUCGCUGGCCAAAACCAUCGCCAACCACGACGAUCUCCUCUCAUAGAUCCUCCUCUGUUGCCUCCCUCAUUUCCAGCCCCAAAUUCCGCGACCGCCACACCCUCUGAAACCCUACCCCUCCUCUCUCCGCCUUCUUCUUCCUCUCCACCUCUCCGGAUCCCUCUCCUCUCCCCUCCAUUCGCUCCUGGAGCUCCGACGAGCCAAGAUUCUCCAAAGAAAGGAAGAAGAAGCUUCGCCGGAGAAUUCGCAACCGCUGUUGUAAAAAAAAAAAAAAAAAAAAAAAAAAAACACGUGUCGCACGACCGUCAGCUGAUUACACGGACAGGUGGCACGACCGUCACACGGAAGUAUUUCUCUGAUGACAUAUAUUGCUUUCCUACAAGGGCCUUUACCAGGUUGUUUCUUUUUUCAUGUUUUCAGAAAGUCGAAAAUUUAAUCAUAUGCUUGUUAUAUAUAUGUAUAACAAAUUCGAUGAUCGUUUGAGUUUUCGUAAUCGUUAUUUACACAAACAGUUCUGGUUAGAUAAAUUUAUGGUCCGUUCAUUAAUUUAAUCUAAUUCAGUAUCCAAACCAUCAUCAAUCUUGACAUUAAUUUGAUCUAAUUCAGUAUCUAAACCAUCAUCAAUCUUGAUGAAAUUUUGUAUGAAUGAUUUAUACAUUAGUAUCAAUAAUCUGAACGGUGAAGAUGUGGAAAUUUGACGAAAAAGUGAGUCAAAUAAGGAAUUUCACACUUUAAUUGCAGAGCGAAGCUUCGCUCUGGAUAGGAUAGGAACUAUGUUUGAGUUUUCGUAAUCGUUAUUUACACAAACAGUUUUGAUUAGACAAAUUUAUGGUCCGUUCAUUAAUUUGACCUAAUUCAGUACCCAAACCAUCAUCAAUCUUGAUGAAAUUUUGUAGGAAUAAUCUAUAUAUUAGUAUCAAUAAUCUGAACAGUGGAGAUGUGGAAAUAACUUCGCUCUGCAAUUAAAGUGUGAAGUUCCUUAUUUGACUCACUUUUUCCUCAUAUUUCCACAUCUCCACCAUUCAAAUUAUUGAUACUAAUGUAUAGAUCAUUCUUAUAAAAUUUCAUCAAGAUUGAUGAUCGUUUGGGUUUUCAUAAUCGUUAUUGAUAUAAUCGUUAUAUAUAUGCUUGCUCUUGAUUAUAUAUGCUUUUGAUUUACGGUUGAGUAGCUCUAUUCCCUCAUCUUCUUAAUUAGAAACUAUAACUUUCAAUCGAUAAAUUGUAGCCAUUGUGUACAAUGAUAGGAGUACAAAAUGCUACGUUUAUGUAACAUCUUGAAUUUUUGAAAUUUCUCAAAAAUAUGUUUUUCUUCUUAGAAAUAGAAAGUAUAGAUCGCCACGAGUUUGCCGUAUUUUUCGGACUCGCGAGCUAUUUUUAACGAUUUUUCAAAAUUUUGUUGAAUUUGUUUUAUGGUGACGUGUCACCUUGAUAUUGGUCCAUAAGAUUUCUUAAUCACCAAGAAUAGCAGCUAACCCACGUGCUGGAAGGGGCAGCUUGCUUUUAUUGGCUGACAAGUGUUGAUUUGGUCCAAUGAAGUCUUGACAUGUAGCAAUUUGGUGUUGCAAAAUUAGAGAAAUUCUUAGGUGCAACAGCCACACCUGACACAUGCGCACCCAACCAUCCGGCGACACAUGCUUUUUUUUUUUCUACACCUGCCUUCUUCUUCUUCUUCUUCUUCUUCCUCCUUUCUCCGGCGAAACAGAUCCCUUCCGGCGAAGAUUUUUCACAACUCUUCUUCUUCUUCUCCUUCCUUCCUUCCUCUCUCUUCUUCUUCUUCUUCUUCUUUCCUCUGCGUGAUUUGCACAGGUUGGUGGAGGCGCGGCUCGAUGGCGGCAGGUUGUUAGGCUUAUGGUGGAGGCGGCAGGGGGUGGGUUUAGGCGGCGGCUGGGCAGAGGGAGCUGCUAUGCUUUGAUCGGAGGGGAUCGGUUUCGCCGGAGAAUAGAGAGGAAGGAAGAAGAAGAGCUGCCCGGAAAGAAAAAAAAAAAAAAAAAAAAGAACACGUGUCGCUAUGCGACUGGUGGGUCGCACAUGACACGUGGUGCGGCUGUCUCACGUAAGAUUUUCUCUGCAAAAUUAAGAGAAGUCAUGCCUUCUGCCAAGUGUGGUUCUUUUAGUGGAUCAACACACCCAAACCGCCCUCUCUUUGUCGGCCUACCAACCCGAUAUAUAGAGCUGACCCGGUUCAGCUUCUUCUGUCAUUUUCACUCUCUCUCUCCCCAAACAUUUCUGUCUCUAGGGUUUUUACGACUAAACUUCGGGGGAUCAUAACUUUUGAUCUGUAACUCUAAUUCUGAAUCCGUAAAGUGUUACGGGUUCGUCUCGAUGACCUCUUCGUCUCCUAAAAGUUUGAGCUAGAUCUAACGGUGAUUCCUAGAUGGCUCGUUUUAGGAGGCCCGGUUUACGAUCGAUGUUCUUGGUGGGGAUUCGAAUUAUUGAGGUGAGUGGAUUUCUGUAAUAUGUUUAAAAUAUUCUUAUUUGCGAUAAAAAUGUUAGAAAAGCAUGUUUUUGAUCUUUUACGAAAUAUCUCUCUAUUUUCUAGUGAAGCAUGUCGAUUUGCGAAAUUUGCGGUGUUUAUAUAUAAUUAUGUGUUGGAUCCAUUGUUUGACUAGUCAUGGAACAUGUGAACUUCUUGAUUGGUUAUGCCGAAGUAAGGAUGUGACACACGGAGGUAUAGGACUUGAAGGUCAUUAGGUUCCCGUGGGGAUUACUAAAUUGAAGAAUAUCUAAUAAGAAAGGAUUAUGCGAUGUGAUGAAUUGUUUGAAGUGAUGUGUAUACGAUACACGUAUUUUGUAGCCUGUGUAAAAUGACAUGACUUUGCGGGCAUAUUACAUUAGUCUACUCACUGAGCGCGUGGUUAUGCUCACCCACCCAUCUCUAAUAUUUUUUGUAAAGAAGUACUUAGAUUUGACCGAGCCAGGAAAGGGUAGCCGACAAGCCUAGAAGAUAGUGUUUUUAUUUUAUUCGGCUUUGUAACACUCGUUCACGCCUCAGAAUCGGCGUCCGGCGCUUAAAAACCGCCGACGUCAGGACCGGGGUGUGAUAGUUUAUAAUGUAUUUCUGACCCUAUUUAGUUAUGUAAUUCCUUUAACAAUAUUCAUAUUAACUAAGUUUGUGUUUUUAGGUCAUAAAUAAAGUCGAGGAGCCCAAAAGAGACGAAAGAGGAUAAAUCUUGAAGGAAAAAGAAUCCAUGUCGUGCAAGGAAAGAAAUCAGAAAAAUCUGUCAGAAAUUGUUAGUCAACUUCGACAGAAUAUUGUGAUUAUCUCACAACGAUCCAGGAGAUGUGCCAUAUAUCAAUGGAAAGCUACAAGAGUCUACUUUCCAGAACCUUUUACGGAUCAUCAAUACCUAUUUUGGAGAAGAAGUUAUGAUUGUUUGAGUGGCCGAAGGUCAGUCUGCCCGAAUUUCUGAUUUGGACCAAAACUUCUAUUUCGAGGCCCAGACCAUAUUGGCAAGCCCGUAGACGAGUUUUAAGGUUUCAUAACCCUAACCACAACAAAAAAGAAGGGGGAGACAUGAAGAUUAGAGGAGGCAGCGAUCUCACAUCAUCAGAACCUCCAUAGUUGCGGACUCGCACAAGGAAGCCGCCAAGCCAUCAUUGAUCUCUCCAUCAUCCAUGGUUUACCUUUCCUUUGCCAUCUUUUAUUCUUCUUGUGUGAUUUUGCAGCCAUGUGUGGCUGAAUUCUCUUAGUUAAGGGCAAGGUUUGAAGCCCCAAGAAUGUUUUAGAUAUUGUUUUGAACCUUAGUUUCAAAUUAUUGAGUCUUUCAAAUUGUUUAUUUGGUUUUGGUUUAUGGAGAACUCUUGCUUGUUUAUGUUCAUGUAUGCGCAACAUAGAACAUUAUGAAUUUGUGAGUGGGGCUAGAAUUAGGUUGUUUAAUCUCCUAAACGGUUAAUACAGCUUAAUUUAAGAUAGUAAAACCUAUAGGACAAUAGGUGAAAGUGAAACCAAUAAAAAGGAUUGCAUGCUAGGUAGGCGUUUCACACUAGUUUUGCAUACUUGUUCAAUCAAACUUUCAUUGAUCUUAGUGCUUAGAAUAAUUUGUUGAUAGGAUAGCGUCUAUACCUUGAUUGGUUAUUCUAAAGGCUUAAUAACAGUGUGUUCAUCUUGCUUAAGUAAUUAAAGGAAAUAAUAAGGACUUACACAGUGCGUUCACGGUUUGUUCUUGAUUGAUACUGAUUUGCGACUUAAUGAUUGAAGUUUUGGUUGUUAACAUGUCUUGAAACAUACUUGGUGGUGGAUUUCCAAGUCUCUAACAUCUCAUCCAUCUGAUCUUUUCUGCUUUAUUUUGUUUCUUUGUUUUCUUUUGUUUAUAAUCACAAAACCCCAUAUCUCUAGUACUAUCAUCUUUUGUUUUCUCUAGUUUUAUAAUUAACGUAAAUUGUAAAAGUACCCUCAAUCCCCGACUUUUAUAACGAUACCAUUAUUUGCUAUAUACUACAAUUGACACAAAAAAGUUUUUAAUUGAAACGCCCGAUUUCAGUCGCUAUCAUACAAAUCAUGGAUGAGUUAUGUUCUCAUGGUAGAUUAGAAAAUAGAAGAACAAUGCCAUUGUUGAGGCUUCUUUUAUUGAAUAUUGAUGAAAUAAUAGGACCAAAAAUGUUAACUGGGAAAGAAGUUGCCCAAGCCAAUCAAAAUUACUACAUAUAUUAUGAUACAAAAAAGACGAAAAGAAUCAGAGUUGUUUUCAGUCUGACUUGCUGCUAUAACAUCCCUGAAAAGGCUGAGUAUAUCCACAAUGAGUGUGCUUGAUCAUCUUCUCUGGAAGUUAAGGUACUUGAUACCAUAAGCAAAGACAAAGAAGAAGAGGAGGACCCAGCCAACAUGAGCAACAACAACUGGUAUGAGGAAGUCGUGGUCAUAACCCCAAGUCGCCUUAAGGAAUUCAUCCACUUUUACAUGUCCUGCAGCAGUUUGGAUAAUCUUAUCGUUCCGAUCACCGAAUUGAGAUGCAAUGACACCGUAGAUUGUCCAAGCAACUGGAGAACCCCAGUAGUACCACCUCCACCAUAUUGGGAUGAGCUGCAAAUUGGAGAACGAAUAUUGUAAGACUCAUCUUAAGUUCAUAUUAUAGUUGGCAAAUUUUCUCAAGCAUUUUUAUAUUUGUAACAUUCCUAGCUAUGAGUAAGGGCAAUGAAAAUAGUAACUACUUUCAUUUGUCCAUGAAGAAAAAAAAAAAAUUAUAACAUACCGGUCUAGCAAUAAGGAAUCCAGAGAACAAAUUCCAGAAACUCAUGAAGAAGGACAUGACAAUUGCCGCGAUUUGAUGGCCAGGAGUUAGGGCAACCACCAUCAUUCCAUACAUAGAGAAGUAUGUAAAACACAUGAAUAUGAAGUAGUAGAAGUACAAGAACUUCUCAAUUUUGAAUUCGUAGCCGAUCAUAGUGAACAGAAGAAGGGAAUAAAUGAAGGUUUGUAUGGCAACAUAAACCGUCUCAAUGGCCACCUACGUCAAAAAAUGUCCAUAAAAAAUUAAUAAAUAUAAAACAAAGCAGUAUAUAUAAUUUGGUGCAAGGCAAAAACAAAUACAAAAGUGAGUCUAGGUUCGAAUGUCUUUACCUGAGCAAAUGCAUAAGGCAACUCGGAAUACAUUCCUGCUGCUCUUUCUCGGUAGAAAACUGUUCUCUCGAUAGAAACUACAGAUUGCACAGAAGAAGCGUUGCCCGCUCCAAGGAAGAGAACAGCAGAAUAGGUUGCUCCCAACAGGUUAACAAUAUCUUGUUGUUUAUCUCUGUUGAAAAAUCAUAGAAGUGAGAACUCUAGGAUAGAACAUUUAUAGAAACAUGGAUCUUUUAGUUUAAAGUUCUUAAACUUACAGCACGUCUCCUUUGUUCCAGAAGAUGACACCAAAAAGUGAGCCGAUGACUAUUGUUUGAAAAACCUGAUGGCAUUGUAGUGCGAGUUCCUCCAGUAUGACCAGUGUUGUUUCCAAAAGCAAGCCUUGCACUGAGUUGGGAAGCUCUGGGAGAAUUGGGUGGGGAAGUAAAGGUCCUUGGAGCCUGGGACUGGUGUGCUCAAUUCCUUGAUCUGUUCUUGAACGCUCCUGAACAAGUGACCGCAAAAAUUGAGAACUAAU